rnacentral:lncRNA from 1 species
UGUUUUACAGUUUUUUGUUUAUUUUCAAGGAAAAAAAAAUAAUAAUCACAUUUAAAUUGCAACUCAAUUGGGGAUUUAAUGUGGUUCUUAUGUAUAGAAUCAAUAAACUUUGUUCUGAUGUGGGGAUUCAUUUGUUGCAACAUUAUGCAUGGUAAAUAAUUGCAUAUUCAAGAUUUUGUGAAAUGGGUGAUGGGGAGAAUGGAGGGGAGACAUUUAUAAAAAACAUUAUUUACAAAAAAUGAUAUCCACAUAGUCGUCUUCUAAUCUAUAAGGCAAGUAAACAUUUAAAAUAUGUUGUUUCAUGAUUAUCUUCAACAAGUCAAUACAACACAUUCAUAUUACCAGUGGUCAAAUACAAAGCUUUGCUGCAAGAGUCCGUGUGCAACAAACCUGUACGUCUUUUACAGUGUUUUUUUCUCUGAGAACAGUAGGUAAGCAGCAAAGUUUUCAUCACAGACUAAGCAGUACCUAGGCCAUCAUAGACUAAAGGUAUAAUAUAUCUCAUUGCACGUUUAGGCAAAAAAGGCCAGCCAUUAAUUAACUUAUUUAACUUAAAUCUUAAAAAUAGACCUGUGUAUCUUAAUCCACAAAUAUUUAUAAACAUUUUAUACAUGAGGGAGUUCAUAAAAUGAUAUGGGGCGAUACCUGGGGAAAUCCAAUUCAAUUCUGGGGCAUCCUCUGAGUUCAGAGGUGUCACAUGUAUUGAAGUGGUUUUCUCACGUAGAUGUUGGGUGUUUGGGUAACAGACCCAUGGGCUGUAUUUCCAAAAUAAUAAGAUGAAAUGGAGCAGGAUUCCUUUUGCAAUGCACUGUGCCAUGUGCCUGGAAAAAGGAAACUGCCUUCCUUCCCUAUCCUUCCCUGCCUGGCCAAAACAGGAUGUCAUUUUAGCAUAAAACUUCUUUUUUCCAUCUAUGUUUUAAAACCAUCUAAUAGAUAAAUCCUGAAACGGCACACUGAAGACAAAAUUAACUGAAACACCAGAUAACAGCACUAGCAUCAUUGAGACCAGCCUGUGUCAGGAGUUGUGUAACUUACUCAGUACGAGAUCAUGCUCAUGUAACAAAGCUUUUGGGAGUGAAACCACACAUGUACACACGGAGAACUCACACCAACUGGGCAGGAAUAGGAGUUUAAUGGACAGUGGCCUCCCAGCAA